rnacentral:rRNA from 1 species
CAAUAGCGUAUAUUAAAGUUGUUGCAGUUAAAAAGCUCGUAGUUGGAUUUCGGGGUGGCCUGCCUGGUCCACCGCAAGGUGAGUACUGGUCAGCCGCCCUUCCUCUCGAAAGCCCCGACUGCUCUUCAUUGCAGUGGUCGGGUAGUUCGGGACGUUUACUUUGAAAAAAUUAGAGUGUUCAAGGCAGGCUCUCGCCUGAAUACAUUAGCAUGGAAUAAUGGAAGGGGACCUCGGUCCUAUUUUGUUGGUUUCUAGGGCCGAGGUAAUGAUUAAGAGGGACAGUUGGGGGCAUUCGUAUUUAAUUGUCAGAGGUGAAAUUCUUGGAUUUAUGAAAGACGAACUAGUGCGAAAGCAUUUGCCAAGGAUGUUUUCAUUAA